CCGUAUUAGCUAGUUGGUAAGGUAACGGCUUACCAAGGCGACGAUACGUAGCCGACCUGAGAGGGUGAUCGGCCACACUGGAACUGAGACACGGUCCAGACUCCUACGGGAGGCAGCAGUAGGGAAUCUUCCGCAAUGGGCGAAAGCCUGACGGAGCAACGCCGCGUGAGUGAUGAAGGUCUUCGGAUCGUAAAACUCUGUUAUUAGGGAAGAACAUACRUGUAAGUAACUAUGCACGUCUUGACGGUACCUAAUCAGAAAGCCACGGCUAACUACGUGCCAGCAGCCGCGGUAAUACGUAGGUGGCAAGCGUUAUCCGGAAUUAUUGGGCGUAAAGCGCGCGUAGGCGGUUUUUUAAGUCUGAUGUGAAAGCCCACGGCUCAACCGUGGAGGGUCAUUGGAAACUGKAAAACUUGAGUGCAGAAGAGGAAAGUGGAAUUCCAUGUGUAGCGGUGAAAUGCGCAGAGAUAUGGAGGAACACCAGUGGCGAAGGCGACUUUCUGGUCUGUAACUGACGCUGAUGUGCGAAAGCGUGGGGAUCAAACAGGAUUAGAUACCCUGGUAGUCCACGCCGUAAACGAUGAGURMWARGUGUUAGGGGGUUUCCGCCCCUUAGUGCUGCAGCUWACG
rnacentral:rRNA from 1 species